AGAAAAAGCAGAAAAAAAAAGAAGAUUGGCAAAAGUUGUUAACUCAGGUGCCAAUCUUUAAAAAACAACCCAGAGAAAUAAGCAACCCAGGACGAGUGAACUGACCUUCCAAAGGAGUCCAACUCCUUCCAGCUCCCCGUCCACCAUCCCGAGGGCGUGGUCCUUGCCUCCUGUUUCAAGGAGGCUGGUCCAGCAGUCUCGGCAGGAUGAGGACAGAGGGAACAAAGGCCUCUCCUCUUCAAGCGAGCCUCCCGGGGUCCUACGUGGCACCUCCAGUUCCACUCACUAGCUAGAAUUCCAUAAUCACUGGUUGCAGUUGACAGAAUGGCUCCCCAAAAAUGUCCGCCCCGACCCCUGGAAUUUGUAAUGUGUUAAAUUACACGGCAAACUGGACUUCAUAAAUGUAAUUAAGGUUGCAGACAUUAAAAUAGCGAGAUUAUCCCAGAUUAUUCAGAUGGGCAAACUAAUCACAUGAGCCUUUAAAAGUGGAGAACUUUCUGCAGCUGGAGGCAAAAGAGAGCAACCCAUCCUUCCAGGGAAGUUGGCCAAAUUCCCUCCGACACAGUCAGCUUUGCUGACCCCAAGGUGCAGGGACCCACAGCAAGGAGCAGCGAGAGGGCAGCCUGCAGCUGACAGCCACAAGGAAACAGGUCUCUGCUACAGCCAACAACCUGAAUGACAGUGGAACUCAGUUCUUCCCAGAGCCUUCCACUAAGAGCCCAGCUGGCACCCUGAUUUUGGCUUUGUGGAACCCAGAGCAGAGAAACCAGCCAGGCUAACCCAGACCUCCGGCCUACAGAACCCUGAGAUAAGUGUGUAGGCUUCAGCUAUAGAGAAACCCUUCGGUCUUCCUUUCCAUCCGACUUACCCCUCCCUGUUGGAGAAGAAUCUGGUGGUGAUCUCAUUGGUGGAUGUGGGAGAAGUCACUGAGAAAGCUUACUUCAGCCUUGUCCUCUUUCUCUCUCCUUCUGGAGCCAUCUAUCCAAGGGCCCUGCCUUCAGGUCUAUCUAUCGUGUUGCAAACGUCCUGAUCAGGAGGGAGUUGUGCGUUGUCACACGUGCUCACGCCAGGAAGAGCAUGAGUGCAAGUAAAGAAGAGGAAAAAAGGAGAAAAUGAUCUAAUAUUCCAAAAUUAAGAAGAAAAAGAGGAGGAUCCAGCCAAGGAGACUGAGAAGGAGCAACCAGCAAGAUAGGAAGAAAACUAAGAAACAGUUGCAUUCUGGAAACCAAGUGAAGAAAGUUUCUUAAGGGAAAGGGAGUGAUCAAAUGCGUCAAAUGAUACCAAGAGGGCAAGUCAGAUGAACACUGAGAACUGUCCACCAUAUUUAGGACCAUGGAGGUCAAUCGGUGACCUCAAGAAGAACAAUUUUUAGACUCAUGAGGGAGAAAGUCUGGUUAGAUUUCAUUAAAAGAGAAAGGAAGAAGAAGUGAAAUCAAGGAGCAAAGACAACUCUUUUGCUCCAAAGAGGAACAAAGAAAUGGGGUAGUAGGUGGAAUGGAAAAUGGGUGAAGAGAAAUAUUUUUUAAGAUAAAAGAAGAAAUAAUAUGGGGGUAGGGCACAAAGGGGGAAGUGGUGUACCCACAGCAUGACUAACAAUAAUGUACAACUGAAAUCUCACAAGGUUGUAAUCUAUCAUAACAGUAAUAAAAAAAAAAAAAGAAAGAAAAAAAAGAAGAAAUAAUAUAUUUAUAUAUUCCUGAGAAUUAUUCCAUAGAGAGGGAAAAUUUGAUGAUGAGGAUGGGAGAAGGGAAUAUUGCUAGAGCAAUGUCCUUGAGUAGGCUACAGAGUAUAAGAUCUAAAGGUGAGGAAUACAAGACUGGUAAUGGAUCUAAGCUUUUACAUGGGCAGUAGAGUGGAAGGGUUUGGGGAGGUAAGGAGUGGGAGGAGCAAAGAAUAGAAUGGAAUGUACAGAGGCUGUGUGGAGUUUCCCUCAAUUUUUCAAACACUAUUCAUGUAAGAAUAAACACUUCACUGUAAAUGUGGUGUUUAGCAACUGAUUGCCUGAAGUAUAGAUUAUCCAAGAUUUUUCAUACCACGGCUUGCUAUAAUCUCCUAAGGAUUGGUGAGGAAAAGAAAUGGAGAUAAAACUCAAAAUCCAUGUCAAUUUGGACAUUGUAAGCAGAUCAUCAGAUUAAAGUUAGGUAAUGAUAAGAGGUUAUUUGUCAAAUACAUUUAAGAAUUUUCUGAGGACUUCACAUACUUAUGUUGCUCACAUUUUCCAUUGCCAUGACAUUUCCAAGUUUCAUGUUUGCGUUAUACGUCUAUGGAUGUGCAACUCAAAAUUAUAGUUUUAAAAAAGAACAAAUACAUUUGGUGGAAAUCUGGGAUCUUUGGCAUAGCUAAUAGAGAAGAGACUUCUAGUUAUUAAUUACAAUAAACAAACGUGUCCAUAAUGACAGAGUUUACAGCAAUGAGGCAUAUUUCUUCUUGCGAUAAUAAUUAAUUGGCUGAAGACUUGCUGGUCCAAUGGAA
rnacentral:lncRNA from 1 species